CCUACGGGAGGCAGCAGUGAGGAAUAUUGGUCAAUGGGCGGAAGCCUGAACCAGCCAAGUAGCGUGCAGGAUGACGGCCCUACGGGUUGUAAACUGCUUGUAUACGGGAAUAACGCGCCGUACGUGUAGGGCUUUGCAUGUACCGUAUGAAUAAGGACCGGCUAAUGCCGUGCCAGCAGCCGCGGUAAUACGGAAGGUCCGGGCGUUCUCCGGAUUUAUUGGGGUGAAAGGGAGCGUCGGCCGCAUGGCAAGCGUGCUGUGAAAAGUCCGGGCUCACCCCGGGCCUUGCAGCGCGAACUGGCGUGCUUGAGUCCGCGGCCAGCAGGCGGCAUUCGUCGUGUAGCGGUGCAAUGCUUAGCUAUGACG
rnacentral:rRNA from 1 species